rnacentral:rRNA from 1 species
UUUCCGGUUGAUCCCGCCGGACCUGACUGCUAUCGGAUUGAUACUAAGCCAUGCGAGUCUUUGUAGUAAUACAAGGCAUACGGCUCAGUAACACGUAGUCAACCUACCCUAUGGACGAGAAUAAUCUCGGGAAACUGAGCAUAAUUCUCGAUAGAUCAUAAUGCCUGGAAUGGUUUAUGGUUAAAAUGAUUCGUCGCCAUAGGAUGGGACUGCGGCCUAUCAGCUUGUUGGUGAGGUAAUGGCCCACCAAGGCGAUUACAGGUACGGGCUCUGAGAGGAGAAGCCCGGAGAUGGGUACUGAGACACGGACCCAGGCCCUAUGGGGCGCAGCAGGCGAGAAAACUUUGCAAUGUGCGAAAGCACGACAAGGUUAAUCCGAGUGAUUUCUGCUAAAGAAAUCUUUUGCCAGUCAUAAAACCACUGGUGAAUAAGGGGUGGGCAAGUUCUGGUGUCAGCCGCCGCGGUAAAACCAGCACCUCAAGUGGUCAGGAUGAUUAUUGGGCCUAAAGCAUCCGUAGCCGGCCUUGUAAGUUUUCGGUUAAAUCCAUGUGCUCAACGCAUGGGCUGCCGAAAAUACUGCAUGGCUAGGGAGUGGGAGAGGUAGACGGUACUCAGUAGGAAGGGGUAAAAUCCUUUGAUCUAUUGAUGACCACCUGUGGCGAAGGCGGUCUACCAGAACACGUUCGACGGUGAGGGAUGAAAGCUGGGGGAGCAAACCGGAUUAGAUACCCGGGUAGUCCCAGCUGUAAACGAUGCAGACUCGAUGAUGCAUUGGCAUAAUAGCCAGUGCAGUGUCGCAGGGAAGCCGUUAAGUCUGCCGCCUGGGAAGUACGUACGCAAGUAUGAAACUUAAAGGAAUUGGCGGGGGAGCACCACAAGGGGUGAAGCCUGCGGUUCAAUUGGAGUCAACGCCGGGA